rnacentral:rRNA from 1 species
CCUACGGGUGGCAGCAGUGGGGAAUAUUGCACAAUGGGGGAAACCCUGAUGCAGCGACGCCGCGUGAGUGAAGAAGUAAUUCGGUAUGUAAAGCUCUAUCAGCAGGGAAGAAAAUGAGGGUACCUGAGUAAGAAGCACCGGCUAACUCCGUGCCAGGAGCCGCGGUAAUACGUAGGGGGCAAGCGUUAUCCGGAUUUACUGGGGGUAAAGGGAGCGUAGACGGGAGUGCAAGUCUGGAGGGAAAGGCGGGGGGCCAACCCCCGGACUGCUGUGGAAACUGUACGGCUGGAGUGCAGGAGAGGUAAGUGGAAUUCCUAGUGUAGCGGUGAAAUGCGUAGAUAUUAGGAGGAACACCAGUGGCGAAGGCGGCUUACUGGACUGUAACUGACGUUGAGGCACGAAAGCGUGGGGAGCAAACAGGAUUAGAUACCCCUGUAGUC